CGCCGCCGGCGACCGGCGCACGGGUGAGUAACACGUAUGCAACCUGGCCGCCACAGGGGGAUAACCCGCGGAAACGCGGCCUAAUACCCCGUGACGCCACCGGAGGGCAUCCUCCGGUGGCCAAAGGAGCGAUCCGGUGGCGGAUGGGCAUGCGGCGCAUUAGCUAGACGGCGGGGUGACGGCCCACCGUGGCGACGAUGCGUAGGGGUUCUGAGAGGAAGGUCCCCCACAUUGGAACUGAGACACGGUCCAAACUCCUACGGAAGGCAGCAG
rnacentral:rRNA from 1 species